rnacentral:ncRNA from 1 species
UUACUAGGGGAGCCAUUAGGCUGAGAAGUUUUGAACUGACUCUUUGAACCUGAUCUAGUUAAUUCUAGCGUAGGGAAGUAGCAAGAU